GGUCCCUUAGCUCAACUGGUUAGAGCUUUGUACUUAUAGGGUUAUCUCUGCCUGCAAGCCAAUGCAAGGGUUCCGAGUUCAAUCCUCGGAGGGACCA